rnacentral:lncRNA from 1 species
AUGUGUAUUUAUUUUACCACAGUACCCUCUGAUAUGUGUAUUUAUUUUACCACAGUACCCUCUGAUAUGUGUAUUUAUACUACCACAGUACCCUCUGAUAUGUGUAUUUAUACUACCACAGUACCCAACCCUCUGAUAUGUGUAUUUAUACUACCACAGUACCCUCUGAUGUGUAUUUAUACUACCACAGUACCCUCUGAUAUGUGUAUUCAUACUACCACAGUACCUUCUGAUAUGUGUAUUUAUACUACCACAGUACCCAACCAGGAGUCUCCUACAGAGCUCACAGUUCAUCACUGUCCUUUUCCUGGUGGGGAGAAGACCAGAAGAGGAUGAUAUCCUUCCUGUCUCCAAGUUCUGCCUCAAAAUGUGCUGGGGUGAGUUUUUCCAUAAUAAAUGAGAACCUUAGAUAUGGUAAUUUAGUAUUUCCUUCUCUCAU